GGAGAGGUGCCAGAGUGGUUUAAUGGGCCGGUCUUGAAAACCGGAGUAGGGCUUGUCCUUACCGAGGGUUCGAAUCCCUCCCUCUCCG
rnacentral:tRNA from 1 species